rnacentral:rRNA from 1 species
CCCUUAGAUGUCCGGGGCCGCACGCGCGCUACACUGAAGGAAUCAGCGUGGCUUUCUCCCUGACCCGAAAGGGUUGGUAAACCCGUUGAAUCUCCUUCGUGAUAGGGAUUGGGGCUUGAAAUUGUUCCCCAUGAACGAGGAAUUCCCAGUAAGCGCGAGUCAUAAGCUCGCGUUGAUUACGUCCCUGCCCUUUGUACACACCGCCCGUCGCUACUACCGAUUGAACGGUUUAGUGAGGGCCUCGGAUUGGUCUCGGCCCGCUCUUUACCGGGCGGCGCCGUUGGUCGAGAAGACGCUCGAACUUGAUCGUUUAGAGGAAGUAAAAGUCGUAACA